GACGAACGCUGGCGGCGUGCCUAAUACAUGCAAGUAGAACGCUGAAGGAGGAGCUUGCUUCUCUGGAUGAGUUGCGAACGGGUGAGUAACGCGUAGGUAACCUGCCUGGUAGUGGGGGAUAACUAUUGGAAACGAUAGCUAAUACCGCAUAAUAGCAGUUGUUGCAUGAUAACUGUUUGAAAGGUGCAAUUGCACCGCUACCAGAUGGACCUGCGUUGUAUUAGCUAGUUGGUGGGGUAACGGCUCACCAAGGCGACGAUACAUAGCCGACCUGAGAGGGUGAUCGGCCACACUGGGACUGAGACAAGGCCCAGACUCCUACGGGAGGCAGCAGUAGGGAAUCUUCGGCAAUGGACGGAAGUCUGACCGAGCAACGCCGCGUGAGUGAAGAAGGUUUUCGGAUCGUAAAGCUCUGUUGUAAGAGAAGAACGAGUGUGAGAGUGGAAAGUUCACACUGUGACGGUAUCUUACCAGAAAGGGACGGCUAACUACGUG
rnacentral:rRNA from 1 species